CCAGGGUUUGACAUCCUGCGAAUCCCUUGGAAACUUGGGAGUGCCUUCGGGAGCGCAGUGACAGGUGGUGCAUGGCUGUCGUCAGCUCGUGUCGNGAGAUGUUGGGUUAAGUCCCGCAACGAGCGCAACCCACGUCUUUAGUUGCCAGCAUUAGUUGGGCACUCUAGAGAGACUGCCGGUGAUAAACCGGAGGAAGGGUGGAUGACGUCAAGUCAUCAUGCCCCUUACAUCCUGGGCUACACACGUACUACAAUGCUACGGACAAAGGGCAGCAAACUCGCGAGAGCUAGCAAAUCCCAUAAACCGUGGCUCAGUUCAGAUCGUAGGCUGCAACUCGCCUACGUGAAGGAGGAAUCGCUAGUAAUCGCAGGUCAGCAUACUGCGGUGAAUACGUUCCCGGGCCUUGUACACACCGCCCGUCACACCAUGGAAGUUGGCCACGCCCGAAGUCGUUACUCCAACCCUUGUGGAGGAGGAUGCCGAAGGUGGGGCUGAUGACUGGGGUGAAGUCGUAACAAGGUAGCCGUACCGGAAGGUGC
rnacentral:rRNA from 1 species